rnacentral:rRNA from 1 species
UACGAAGGGGGCUAGCGUUGUUCGGAAUCACUGGGCGUAAAGCGCACGUAGGCGGAUUGUUAAGUCAGGGGUGAAAUGCCAAGGCUCAACCUUGGAACUGCCUUUGAUACUGGCAAUCUCGAGUCCGGGAGAGGUGAGUGGAACUGCGAGUGUAGAGGUGAAAUUCGUAGAUAUUCGCAAGAACACCAGCGGCGAAGGCGGCUCACUGGCGCGGUACUGACGCUGAGGUGCGAAAGCGUGGGGAGCAAACAGG